UCCUAGGAUGUCGAAGACAGAUUUAAUUUUAAUCCAAGAACUGAAAAUCCUUCAUGUUGUUUCUGUUUGAUUUUCUUCUAUUCCAAUAAGAUGAUCAGAGUUUUAAAUCCAGUAUCUAUUAGUGUUGGUUCAGUGUCUCUGUUUGUCUGGUGCUGAGAGCAGAGAAAUGAUUUCCAUAGAGUGGAGGCUUUGCAUGGUCAGCUGAUCCUCCAGUGAACUGAGAAGGUUUAUAGUCCUGUGAGUUCAACACUGCAGGACUCAGAUCUGUCAGUCAAGCCAGCAGAAGCAACAAGCACCAUGACCCUCAUCACCAUCCUCAUCUGGACGCUGACCUGCUGCUGUUUUACAGGAUGCAGAGCUCAGAUCACUGUGACUCAACCUGCAGUGGAGACAUUUACACCAGGAUCCACUGUCACUCUGAAAUGUGAGACAAGCCAAGAUGUAGCAACAUGUUCUGGUGAUCAAUGUAUGUUCUGGUAUCAGCAGAAACCAGGAGAAACUCCAAAGAAUCUUGUAUAUCGGAUGAAUAAACUCCAGUCAGGAACUCCAGCUCGGUUUAGUGGCAGUGGAAGCGGCUCUGCCUUCACUUUGACCAUCAAUGGAGUUCAGGCUGAAGAUGCUGGAGAUUAUUACUGUAUGGGUUACCAUGGUGGCGGCGUGUUCACACAGUGAUUUAGAGUCGUACAA